UACGUAGGGAGCAAGCGUUGUCCGGAUUUACUGGGUGUAAAGGGUGCGUAGGCGGAUCGUUAAGUCAGUGGUCAAAUUGAGGGGCUCAACCCCGUCGUGCCGUUGAAACUGGCGUUCUUGAGUGAGCGAGAAGUAUGCGGAAUGCGUGGUGUAGCGGUGAAAUGCAUAGAUAUCACGCAGAACCCCGAUUGCGAAGGCAGCAUACCGGUGCACAACUGACGCUCAGGCACGAAAGCGUGGGUAUCGAACAGG
rnacentral:rRNA from 1 species